UUGUUAGCCUUGCUAUGGUAUAACUUAGUGGCAGACGGGUGAGUAAUGUAUAGGAAUCUACCUAGUAGUACGGAAUAAUUGUUGGAAACGACAACUAAUACCGUAUACGCCCUACGGGGGAAAAAUUUAUUGCUAUUAGAUGAGCCUAUAUUAGAUUAGCUAGUUGGUGGGGUAAUAGCCUACCAAGGUAAUGAUCUAUAGCUGAUCUGAGAGGAUGAUCAGCCACACUGGAACUGAGAUACGGUCCAGACUCCUACGGGAGGCAGCAGUGGGGAAUAUUGGACAAUGGGCGAAAGCCUGAUCCAGCCAUGCCGCAUGAGUGAAGAAGGCCUUUGGGUUGUAAAGCUCUUUUAGUGAGGAAGAUAAUGACGGUACUCACAGAAGAAGUCCUGGCUAACUCCGUGCCAGCAGCCGCGGUAAUACGGAGAGGGCUAGCGUUAUUCGGAAUUAUUGGGCGUAAAGGGCGCGUAGGCUGGUUAAUAAGUUAAAAGUGAAAUCCCGAGGCUUAACCUUGGAAUUGCUUUUAAAACUAUUAAUCUAGAGAUUGAAAGAGGAUAGGGGAAUUCCUGAUGUAGAGGUAAAAUUCGUAAAUAUUAGGAGGAACACCAGUGGCGAAGGCGUCUAUCUGGUUCAAAUCUGACGCUGAAGCGCGAAGGCGUGGGGAGCAAACAGGAUUAGAUACCCUGGUAGUCCACGCUGUAAACGAUGAAUGUUAAAUAUGGGGAGUUUACUUUCUGUAUUACAGCUAACGCGUUAAACAUUCCGCCUGGGGACUACGGUCGCAAGAUUAAAACUCAAAGGAAUUGACGGGGACCCGCACAAGCGGUGGAGCAUGUGGUUUAAUUCGAUGCAAC
rnacentral:rRNA from 1 species